GCCUCUUGUCCACCCGGUAUUAAGUAGUUGCGCCGAAGGUGAUGUUUUUGAAAUCUCCUCGGUCUGGCUGCUUUAUACCGCAUGGAUGAAAAUC